AUCUGUUACAUAUCUGUUGAUUUCUUGAAUGCAUUGGCCGGUCAGAGGUGUUUUCAUUCAGAAUCCACUCAACGCUGCACUUUUGUUCAGGGCUGGGUUCUGCUAGCUCACGAAUCAUCUCAUUAUAACAAAGUGUAGACACAAUGUAAAGAGAUUUAUUGUGCAGUGUAGAGGCAUUCAUUGAUUAGAACGCAACUAAGAUUGCGAUAAACUGAAAUGAGUUACAGCUUUUUAGUGAUUUUAAAGGGGGCGCUCUUUGCACACUUUCUUGGCUUCGACUCUGUACCUGAAGUGAGGGCAAAUGUUAAAUUAAUUUGGAAAAGUGAAAGAACAAGUAAUAUUAAAUGUGAACCAAUCUGCAGGGCCCCACACUGUGUCCUAUCUUGUCAUGACAACAACCAGUAAAAAGAGAUUUUUUUGUAAAUAUAAGUUUUGUCUCAACUGUGACUGUGAUGAGUGACAGGAUUUGCAAAGAGAUAGGUUCCUUUUUCUUCUGUGUCAUGCUCAGUUGCGCUUGUGUCAGGCGUUUCGUGUCCAGUAUGGACAUGCAAAUGCUUGUCGCUGGAAACUUUGUCUAUGGAAGCUGAUGUGUCAAUAAACUUAAAUUAAACUGAAACUGAAACUUUUUCUAUGGUUAUAAAACAGUUAACAUGUUUUUGUGGUUUUAAAGGUUAGACUAUGCAUGCAUACUUAAAUAUGAGCUUAAAUUUGGUUAUAGGUUUUGAUCUAGCUCAAAUGUCAUAGAAUAUAGAUGAUGGCCCUUCUUAAUGGUGUGCAUUUAAUACAUUAAUGUAACCAAAACAAUGCUUGUAAGAAAUAACAAUAAUAAAGAUCUGAGUUAGGCAGGUUUCUCUCCUGGUACUUUGCUUUGGACGUGAUUAACACCUUUAAUUCACUCUUCUGCAUUCUCAGACUCUCGUUCUCUUCUCUUCUUUCUCCACAGGGAGCAGCACUGCUGACUGGAUGCAGUCCCUGCCAUGUCUCCGUGGAGAACAGUUCUUGCAAAGGGAGAGAAAGCUGGCCAACAUGCAGACUCUGGUCCUCGAAGAAUGCUGUCCUGAAACUCGCGAUUAUGGAAAGGGGCAUUACAUUUCCGACGAGUUUUGCGGUGUUCGACCAAUCACAAUGCACCGGGUCAGUUGGCCAAUCAGAGCAGACUGUGCUUGUCGGAAGGAAGGACUUUGUAGAAAACUAUGCGUUUGA
rnacentral:lncRNA from 1 species